GGAUAUGAGGGCAAUCUGGCUGCGACAUCUGUCACCCCAAUGACUGGGUUGAUCUGGCUGAUCUGGCUGGCUAGGGAGGUGUCCUCUUCCUCCUUUACUGCCUCAUGUGUGUCCCUCCUGACGCAGUUCAGUGGAAGAGGACCACCUUCCCCGAUGGAGGAGGACAUUUCCUUGGUCAAGGUAUCUGUGCUCCCCUGUUAAAACCUUCAAAACAAGCUCUCAAUACAAGAUAGUUCCUACUCCUUUUUCUUUUCAUGGCAUGAGUGGACCCCCCAAAUUCCCA
rfam:Heterocephalus glaber contig74079, whole genome shotgun sequence.